GCCUUGUCCCCACGACUUCUCUGUGACUCCUACGGGAGGCAGCAGUGGGGAAUAUUGCACAAUGGGCACAAGCCUGAUGCAGCCAUGCCGCGUGUGUGAAGAAGGCCUUCGGGUUGUAAAGCACUUUCAGUUGUGAGGAAGGUGGUGUCGUUAAUAGCGGCAUCAUUUGACGUUAGCAACAGAAGAAGCACCGGCUAACUCCGUGCCAGCAGCCGCGGUAAUACGGAGGGUGCGAGCGUUAAUCGGAAUUACUGGGCGUAAAGCGCAUGCAGGUGGUUUGUUAAGUCAGAUGUGAAAGCCCGGGGCUCAACCUCGGAACUGCAUUUGAAACUGGCAGACUAGAGUACUGUAGAGGGGGUAGAAUUUCAGGUGUAGCGGUGAAAUGCGUAGAGAUCUGAAGGAAUACCGGUGGCGAAGGCGGCCCCCUGGACAGAUACUGACACUCAGAUGCGAAAGCGUGGGGAGCAAACAGGAUUAGAUACCCUGGUAG
rnacentral:rRNA from 1 species